CGAAGGGGCGUAGCGUUGCUCGGAAUUACUGGGCGGUAAAGGGAGGCGUAGGCGGACAUUUAAGUUCAGGGGUGGAAAUACCCGGGGCCGUCAAACCUCGGAAUUGCCUUUGUAUACUGGGUGUCUUGAGUAUGAGAGAGGUGUGUGGAACUCCGAGUGUAGAGGUGAAAUUCGUAGAUAUUCGGAAGAACACCAGUGGCGAAGGCGACACACUGGCUCAUUACUGACGCUGAGGCUCGAAAAGCGUGGGGGAGCAAACAGGAUU
rnacentral:rRNA from 1 species